GGAUUGUGGUUCAGUGGUAGAGUGCUCACCUAGCACAUGCGAGGCCCUGGGUUCAAUCCUCAGCACCA
rnacentral:tRNA from 1 species